UUAAGCAUAUCAAUAAGCGGAGGAAAAGAAACCAACAGGGAUUGCCCUAGUAACGGCGAGUGAAGCGGCAACAGCUCAAAUUUGAAAUCUGGCGCAAGCCCGAGUUGUAAUUUGUAGAGGAUGUUUCUGGCGACGUGCCUUCCGAGUUCCCUGGAACGGGACGCCAUAGAGGGUGAGAGCCCCGUACGGUUGGAUGCCUAGCCUCUGUGAAACUCCUUCGACGAGUCGAGUAGUUUGGGAAUGCUGCUCUAAAUGGGAGGUAUACGUCUUCUAAAGCUAAAUACCGGCCAGAGACCGAUAGCGCACAAGUAGAGUGAUCGAAAGAUGAAAAGCACUUUGAAAAGAGGGUUAAAAAGUACGUGAAAUUGUUGAAAGGGAAGCGUUUAUGACCAGACUUGGGCAGGUUGAUCAUCCGUGGUUCUCCGCGGUGCACUCUGCCUGCCCAGGCCAGCAUCAGUUCGCCCCGGGGGAUAAAGGUUUCGGGAAUGUGGCUCCUCCGGGAGUGUUAUAGCCCGUUGCGUAAUACCCUGAGGUGGACUGAGGUUCGCGCACUGCAAGGAUGCUGGCGUAAUGGUCAUCAACGACCCGUCUUGAAACACGGACCAAGGAGUCGUCUUCGUAUGCGAGUGUUCGGGUGUCAAACCCCUACGCGUAAUGAAAGUGAACGUAGGAGAGAGCUUCGGCGCAUCUCCGACCGAUCCUGAUGUUCUCGGAUGGAUUUGAGUAAGAGCAUACGGAGCCGGACCCGAAAGAAGGUGAACUAUGCCUGUAUAGGGUGAAGCCAGAGGAAACUCUGGUGGAGGCUCGCAGCGGUUCUGACGUGCAAAUCGAUCGUCAAAUAUGGGCAUGGGGGCGAAAGACUAAUCGAACCUUCUAGUAGCUGGUUUCCGCCGAAGU
rnacentral:rRNA from 1 species